rnacentral:rRNA from 1 species
AUGUACCAGUAUAGCACCCUGAACACACCUGAUCUUGUCUAAUUUCACAAACUAAACAGGGGCAGGCCUGGUUGUUUAUUUGGAGGGGAUACUGCCUGGUAAUUCCAGGGGCUCGGAAAGA